GCCCUUGUAGCUCAGCUGGUAGAGCAGCGGUUUUGUAAACCGAAGGUCGCGGGUUCGAUUCCUGCCGGGGGCACCA
rnacentral:tRNA from 87 species